CGCCUUAUACUCCUACGGGAGGCAGCGGUGGGGGAUUUUGGACAAUGGGCGCAAGCCUGAUCCAGCAAUGCCGCGUGCAGGAAGAAGGCCUUCGGGUUGUAAACUGCUUUUGUACGGAACGAAACGGUCUGGGUUAAUACCCUGGCUAAUGACGGUACCGUAAGAAUAAGCACCGGCUAACUACGUGCCAGCAGCCGCGGUAAUACGUAGGGUGCAAGCGUUAAUCGGAAUUACUGGGCGUAAAGCGUGCGCAGGCGGUUUUGUAAGACAGUCGUGAAAUCCCCGGGCUCAACCUGGGAAUGGCGAUUGUGACUGCAAAGCUGGAGUGCGGCAGAGGGGGAUGGAAUUCCGCGUGUAGCAGUGAAAUGCGUAGAUAUGCGGAGGAACACCGAUGGCGAAGGCAAUCCCCUGGGCCUGCACUGACGCUCAUGCACGAAAGCGUGGGGAGCAAACAGGAUUAGAAACCCUAGUAGUCCACGUACCA
rnacentral:rRNA from 1 species